rnacentral:rRNA from 1 species
GACGAACGCUGGCGGCGUGCUUAACAUAUGCAAGUCGAACGGGAAGGCCCUGCUUUUGUGGGGUGCUCGAGUGGCGAACGGGUGAGUAACACGUGAGUAACCUGCCCUUGACUUUGGGAUAACUUCAGGAAACUGGGGCUAAUACCGGAUAGGAGCUCCUGCUGCAUGGUGGGGGUUGGAAAGUUUCGGCGGUUGGGGAUGGACUCGCGGCUUAUCAGCUUGUUGGUGGGGUAGUGGCUUACCAAGGCUUUGACGGGUAGCCGGCCUGAGAGGGUGACCGGUCACAUUGGGACUGAGAUACGGCCCAGACUCCUACGGGAGGCAGCAGUGGGGAAUAUUGCACAAUGGGCGGAAGCCUGAUGCAGCAACGCCGCGUGCGGGAUGACGGCCUUCGGGUUGUAAACCGCUUUCGCCUGUGACGAAGCGUGAGUGACGGUAAUGGGUAAAGAAGCACCGGCUAACUACGUG